rnacentral:lncRNA from 1 species
GUGGAGUUUCCCUCCUGAGAGACCACCUGUUUAUUUCACUCCUGUCCUCCCAGAAACAUUUUCUGACGAACACACUUGGGCCACCCAGGACCUCAGGAAGAGAGGAACGUCAGGGUCAUAUCAUCAGAAGAGCCUGUGCAGUUAAAGAGGUUGUGGUGAUUCUUGGAAAACAAGAAGCUUCAGAGGGGAGGGUAAAUGUAAGAACUCAGCACAUAACCAGGGACAUUAGUGCAAGGCAGGUGCCAGUGACCCUCACCGACUUACACCAGUGCUUUGAUAGGAGAUAUGGCUCUGACUCAGGACAGUUCAGCAACGUGCAUGAGCUGUCGGGGCGGGGGGACUUCUGUCUAUACUGGAAACAUUUACAAUGUAACAUACAAUUUAAAUUUAACAUACAAUUUGAACACACAAUUUAACAGGUUUUGAACUUUAAAGCCCUGAAUGUUAGUGAUCUUGCAAAUUCCUCUGUGGUGCUCAAAAACCGUAAGAUGGGCCGCAAAUGAUUUUGAAGAGGUUUGGGGCAGGAAAGACGGGGGGAAUUUCUAAGAACACCUGGCCCACAAAAUGUCACGUCUUCUGAGGGUUGUUGGAAAAGAAGGAUCUGCCUGGCAUCCGCCUUUCUGAUCACGGGAAAGGCCUAGACUAUUCUGGGGGUGUCCAAUGGAUUGUGGCAUGCAUGCACUCCAUGUGGAGGUUACAAGAGGGCUGAGGUUGCUGGGGUGGGCAGAACCAGCCCAGAUUUCCUCUUCUUUCUUGGCCUGGGUUCAACUUCCUCUUUCCCUUUGCCAGUUAGGCCCAAAGAAUUCACAUUUCCAGAAUCUGAGGAAUCCUCAGACCCCAUGGUUUAGCCACCGACACCCUAUUUUGUCUGUUACAUCUGUGGGGCUCCCUCCCUUCCCCUUGAGCCUCGGCUGUACCAUGUGAGUCUCCCUGGGGCUCCAGCCUUGACACCUGCUCUGUCUCCUUGGCCAGGAAAGGUGAGGCUGUGUGACCCAGAAUAUGUUCCCUCCCUUCUCUGAGGUGAGCUACUGGUCUCAGGAGAAGUUAGGCAAUAGUCACACCAAAGGGCUUCGUGAAGACACUAACAGGCUGUGCAGUUCACACUCGUGGUUCAUGGUAACAGCACUCCAUACCAAGAGGAGAGCAGCGGUGUGGACAGACACAGGGGUGUAGGAUCUGAGGCUAGCUCUCUUGCUUCCACUGAGCAUUUAUUGAACACCAACUGUAUGCUGGGGCUGGGGGAACCAGCGGAGACACGGUGGUGUACAUAGUAUGCAUGGCCACCACCCUUGAGGGCUCACUAUCUGAACUGUGCUAGAAAUGGAGUGUGAGGUCUGCAGAGACCUAAACAAUGAAGAAGAAUUAGCUAGAUCAGAGGCAGGAAGUGUUGUCUUCCUGAUAGAGGGAACAGCAUGUGCAAAGGCCCUGGGGACAGGGGGCAAAGGGGCUUCUAAAGCAUAGAGUAGAGAUGGAGCUGGAAGGAGUAAAUAGUAAGACAAGUGAAUAAAUAAAAUACAUGACAUGUUAGGAAUCGGUAAGUGCUAAAGAAAAAUAAAUCAGGAAAGGGACUGAGAACAUGUAGGGGGUGCCAUUUUAAAAAGAGGGAAGGCUGUACUGAGGACAGUACUUUGAACGGAGCCAAGGAAGUGAGAAUCAUGUGACUACUGGGAAGGAGGGCAUUCUGGGCUAGGGGAGCAAGUACAAAGGUCCUGAGGCAGGGCUGUCCCUGGUGUCCCAGUGCAGUUAUGGUAGAGAGGCAGGGAGGUGGCAGGGAGAGUGAUGGAAGGUGAGUUUCAGAGGUGACAGGCCUGGACUGUAGAGGCUUUGUGGGCCACCGUGGACUUUGGCUUUUACCCCAAAUGAGGUGGGAGCCGUGGGGGGGUGGUGAUUGAAAAAAGGCAGGAUGAGGGUUGACAUGUGCCAGUGGUUUUUCAAAUUUCUCAUUUCAGUACCCACAGUACACACUGUGGGGUUGGCAUCAGCAUCCCCACUUCACAGAUGAGGAAACUAAGGCUCUGUGGAUACAGAGACUUGCCCAGAAUUCUUCAGUUAGGACGUUUAGCACCAGGGUCUAAACACAGAGGUCACUUACUCAGUACCACCCCUAGCUCCCCACUGGACACCCCCUCCCCACCCUGCACAGACCUCACCCACCAGGCUCAACAUUCCAAAAGGCUCAACAUUCCAAAAGGCUGGUAGAGAUAGGUGAGUGCAGAGCACACCUGGAGGCUGAGAGCCCUGCUUGCCAACCCCCAGGCCAUCAUCAGGCAGGGACUGCAUAGAGGUGCCUGCACUGGUGGGGGGCCAGGUGCUGGCAGGGUGUGUGUGCUGGCUGGGGGGCUGGCCCCACCUGGCCCGAGGGCUGCCAGCCCCAUCUGGCCAAGGUUGUCAACUCCUCUCAAACACACCUACAAGUUCAGGGCCAAGAGUUAUUAAGGAAAAGGUACAACUGAGGACAUGGUACCAUCCAUGCCUGGAGAUGACGCCAUCCUCCACAGGGUGGCCAGCCAUCAUCACCUGGGCCACUGUCUCCUCAGAGGACAUCUUCCACAUAACUAGAGAGUUGACAUGUCUGUCUGUCCUGAUGUAUUGUGGGGUCUCUAAGCGCCAGCUGUGACUUAGGAGAACAAAGAGACUUAUGACUUCAUGGGGGGCUCCAGAGCUGGGCAGCCUGAGCUCAGAUUCUGACUCAGCCACUGCUGUGGGGCCUUAGGCCGGUUACUUUACCCCUCUGGGCCUCUUCCCAGGUGAACAGGAAAGAGUCAUUGUAUCCACCUCAUGAAGUUUGUGAACAUGGUGGGCCAUAAUACAUGGGAAACCUUUCCACAAUAGUUGCCCAGGAAGGUUAGCCAUCAUCAUGAUCACUGCUGUCAUCAUCACCACCAUUGUUCUUCCUGAGUCCUCGAGAUCCAUCCUGAGCAGGUACCCAGUGAAUCUCUGGAGGGACAUGGUGACAGCCAGCCUCCUUGAGUUAUCACUGGGGGCUGGAGCCUGAGGACUGGAAGGGAUGAUGGAGCUGGGUAUGAGUCCAUGUCAGCUGUGUGACCUUGGGCAAGUCUAGUGCCCUCUCUGGACCUCCCUCUCUCCCCUGUUCACAUGCAGACAUACACAAAGGUCCUCCAGUUCUGCUCUGCAAUUCUGUGACUAGGCUUUCUAUGGGCACCUGCUGGGCCCAGCCCAGGGCCAAGGUACUCAGGGAAGGUGCCUUGAUAUCAGAUUUGGAGAGGGCUUGGGACCUCUGGGCCUCCUAGUUCCCUGGAGGGGUGCUUGUUUUUCAAAGGUCUUGCUGGUUAUUUGAUUUCCUCAUGACUGUCCUCCUGCCCCCAGCAGGCUGAGUUCCAUGUGCUCUCAGUGUUCAACAAAGCUCCAGCCUUUUGGUACCAAGCCAGCUCCUGCUCCUCCUUCCAUACUCAGGGCAGCUUUGCCUCCUCCUCCAAGAAGCUUUCCUUGACUAAGGCUGGAAUUAGCUGCCUCCCUGAGCCACCUCAUGGGCUGGUUGAGUUUGGGGUUCGUCCCCUUCCAGACAGCUCUUGGAGGGCUGGGGCUGUGUCUGACCUGUGCUAUGUCCCUGGCACCAUGGAUUGACAGCUAUGUGGGCACAGGGAGCCCUUGGUAGGGGGAGGGAGGAGGAAAUGGAGGCCCCCUAAGGCUCUAGCCUUGGAAGGAAGGGGUCUUCAACACAGCCUGCAAGGGUGAGGCUGCGCAGAUGAGGAUCUAAACCUGGCUUUGCUCUGUCCUCACUGGGCAGACUCUCCCUCCAUGAACUUCUUUCCUCCUCUGUCACAGGCAGACAUCCUCGCUGCCUCCCAGACAAGCCCACAUGGAAGGCUGCUUCCCUGAGAUCCUGGAGACGGUGUAUGUGUUGUUCUGAAGAGCCCAUGCUCAGCAGGUUUCUGUGUGUCCCCCUUUCAGCUGUGGGCUCCCCAGAGCCUGCCCUGCCUCAUGCACAGGGCUCAGGCCGGGCUGCCCUGGCUGGGCCCCUGAGCUGAGUGAAGGAUGGAUGCCCUGUGGGUGCCUGUGGAGUGGACUGAUCUGACAAGGAGGAGUCUGAGCAGAGAUCCAGGUGGCUAGGCAGCCCCUGCUCACCCUACCCUGGCUGGGCAACCUUGGGCAGGUGACUUAUACCUUUGAGCCUCCCUUUUGUCACCUGUUAAGUAGAGAUGCUCAGCGCCAUCUCAGAUUAAUUGGGCUGUGGAUGCAGAGCCUGACAUGGCCCUAAAGGGCUCUCUGUGAGAGCUCUGUGCUUUGCUAAUCUAAUGCCUCGGUUCCUCUAACUGAGCCUGGAGCACAUGGAGCAGGGCUGGUAUCUUGACUGCCUCUCUCUUUCCUCUUGCUGUUCUGUCCUUUUAGCAAACUUAAGGCAGAUCUCUGACUCAGGCCUCCCAGGUAACAGAGUCUAGAGAGGAUUACAAAACCAUAUUGUCUUUACUGUAUUUGUGUUUCUGGCCCUUCUGGUUGUAGCAGCCAUUGCUCAGACAGGACAUGGCUUUUCCUUUUUAAAUAUGCUGACCUAAGCAAUGGUGUUGGGCUGCAGAGAGGUUGAGUUCCGGGAUUCUGGGCCCAGGUAGAUGGUCCUGGUUCAAAUCCCAGCCCUGCCUCCCCGCCCCCCCACUGCUCUGUGUUUGCAGGCAUUUCUUGCCUUGGUCCCCCCGCCCCCAUACAGUGUAAAAACAGCAUUUGGACCCCCAUCCUGCCAAGGGGGCCUUUAUGUUGGUUGAUGUGUACAAAGUACCCAGAGCCAGGCCCAGGGCACAGUCAGGGUUACCUCCUGCUGUGAUCACAUUUCAAAAAGUGAGUUGAGGAGUUCCUGUUGUGGCUCAGUGGUUAAUGAAUUCGACUAGGAACCAUAAGGUUGCAGGUUCGAUCCCUGGCCUCGCUCAGUGGGUUAAGGAUCCGGCAUUGCCAUGAGCUGUGGUGUAGGUCACAGACACAGCUCGGAUCCUGCGUCACUGUGGCUAUGGCGUAGGCCGGCAGCUACAGCUCCCAUUAGACCCCUAGCCUGGGAACCUCCAUGUGGCAUGGGAGCUGCCCUAGAAAAGGCAAAAAAAAAAAAAAAAAAAAAAAAA